rnacentral:tRNA from 1 species
GGGUCUUUAGCUCAGUUGGUUAGAGCUCCCGGCUCAUAACCGGGCGGUCCCGGGUUCGAGUCCCGGAGGACCCA